rnacentral:rRNA from 1 species
UGAUGCAGCAAUGCCGCGUGCAGGAGGAAGGCCUUCGGGUUGUAAACUCGCUUUUGUCAGGGGAAGAAAUCCUUUGGGCUAAUACCUCGGAGGGAUGACGGUACCUGAAGAAUAAGCACCGGCUAACUACGUGCCAGCAGCCGCGGUAAUACGUAGGGUGCGAGCGUUAAUCGGAAUUACUGGGCGUAAAGCGUGCGCAGGCGGCUUUGCAAGACAGAGGUGAAAUCCCCGGGCUCAACCUGGGAACUGCCUUUGUGACUGCAAGGCUAGAGUACGGCAGAGGGGGAUGGAAUUCCGCGUGUAGCAGUGAAAUGCGUAGAUAUGCGGAGGAACACCGAUGGCGAAAGCGAUCCCCUGGGCCUGUACUGACGCUCAUGCACGAAAGCGUGGGGAGCAAACAGGAUUAGAUACCCUGGUAGUCCACGCCCUAAACGAUGUCAACUGGUUGUUGGACGGCUUGCUGUUCCUUAACGAAGCUAACGCGUGAAGUUGACCGCCUGGGGAGUACAGCCGCAAGGUUGAAACUCAAUG